AGAACGAACGCUGGCGGCGUGCCUAACACAUGCAAGUCCAACGUGAAAGGGGAGCAAUCCCCCGGUAGGGUGGCAAACGGGUGAGUAAUACAUGGGUGAUCUACCUUAGGGAUGGGGAUAUCCUUCCGAAAGGAGGGGCAAUACCGAAUAUUGUCCGGAGCCGUGAAGGGUUCCGGGGAAAGGGAGGCCUCUGACACAAGCUUUCGCCUUAAGAUGAGCCCAUCGGCCCAUCAGCUAGUUGGUAGGGUAAAGGCUUACCAAGGCGACGAUCGGUAGCUGGUCUGAGAGGAUGAUCAGCCACACUGGGACUGAGACACGGCCCAGACUCCUACGGGCGGCAGC
rnacentral:rRNA from 1 species